rnacentral:lncRNA from 1 species
GGGUCUUUGAUAAGGACAUCUUGAAAGCUUCACGUCUUAUGGUGCAAGUGAGGGCGGAGACAGCCGCUGUGAUGUGAAGGUCGGGUAUUUGAAGCCUUUCUUUGUUAAACCUCGUCAUAAAUCCUCGUAGGGUUUCACUUGGUCCCUGGCGAAGUUGCAUGAGAGAGGCCACAGUCUUUCUGAUUCACUUGCUACUUGCAAAGAAGGCUGAGAACUUAUCAGCCAAAUUUGAGAAUGAG